rnacentral:rRNA from 1 species
GUGCAGCAGGCGAGAAUAGUCUACAAUGGACGAAAGUCUGAUAGUGCGACGCCGUGUGUGCGAUUAAUUCCUUCGGGAUGUAAAGCACUUUUCUAUGAGAUAAAAGCUCUUUAGGUUAAUAGCUUAUUGAGACGGAUAUUAUUAUAGGAAUAAGCUCCGGCUAACUCCGUGCCAGCAGCCGCGGUAAUACGGAAGGAGCGAGCGUUGUCCGGAUUUACUAGGCGUAAAGGGCCAGUAGGCGACUAAUUAAGUUAUAUGUUAAAUCCCACGGCUCAACUGUGGUCCUGCAUGUAAUACUGGUUAGAUAGAGUACUGUAGAGGAAGGCAGAAUUCCUGGAGUAGCGGUGGAAUGCGCAGAUAUCAGGAAGAAUACCAAAAGCGAAGGCAGCCUUCUGGGCAGUUACUGACGCUGAAUAGCGAAGGUGUGGGUAGCGAACAGGAUUAGAUACCCGCGUAGU